UACGUAGGGUGCAAGCGUUGUCCGGAAUUAUUGGGCGUAAAGAGCUCGUAGGCGGCUUGUCACGUCGACUGUGAAAGCCCGGGGCUUAACCCCGGGUCUGCAGUGGAUACGGGCAGGCUAGAGUGCGGUAGGGGAGACUGGAAUUCCUGGUGUAGCGGUGAAAUGCGCAGAUAUCAGGAGGAACACCGGUGGCGAAGGCGGUUCUCUGGGCAUGUCCUGACGCUGAGGAGCGAAAGUGUGGGGAGCGAACAGG
rnacentral:rRNA from 1 species